rnacentral:lncRNA from 1 species
GUUUAGGGUUUAGGGUUUAGGGUUUAGGGUUUAGAGUUUAGGGUUUAGAAUUUAGAGUUUAGGGUUUAGGAUUUAAAGUUGAGAAAUGAGAUUUUGGGGAUAAGAUUUCAAAUUUUGAAAAAUAAAAAAAUUAAAAUUUUCAAAGUAUAAACUUAGAAAGGUGCUAUUUUGGUCAUUUUAGUUUUUGAGUGCUAUUUUUGUGAUAUAAACUUAGAAAGGUGCUAUUUUGAAGAUUUGCCCUAUAUAUAUUUAUAUAAUUCGCGUAAUUACACUAUACCCUCUCGUCUUUUUGGAUGUCGACCGUUUCGAUUUUUUUAAUUUUUUUUAGUUUUCCAUUUUUUUAUCACAAAAUCUAAUCAUUUAAAAUAGAGUCACUUUAUUAUUUACUAUACAAAUUACAAAAGUCAUAGUAAUUCCAUUUUAUUAGUUACAUGAUAAAAUAUGACAUAAUAAUCAAUAAAAAA